GAUGAACGCUGGCGGCGUGCCUAAUACAUGCCAGUCGAGCGAACAGAUGAGGAGCUUGCUCCUCUGACGUUAGCGGCGGACGGGUGAGUAACACGUGGAUAACCUACCUAUAAGACUGGGAUAACUUCGGGAAACCGGAGCUAAUACCGGAUAAUAUAUUGAACCGCAUGGUUCAAUAGUGAAAGACGGUUUUGCUGUCACUUAUAGAUGGAUCCGCGCCGCAUUAGCUAGUUGGUAAGGUAACGGCUUACCAAGGCAACGAUGCGUAGCCGACCUGAGAGGGGGUUGGGCACACUGGAAAUUGGAAACGGGUCCCACACCCACGGGGGGGCAGAAGGGGGAAAUUUUCCGAAAUGGGGGAAAGCCUGCGGGAGCAACGCCGGGGAGGUAUAAAAGGUCUUGGGAUCGAAAACCUUUUUUAUUAGGAAAAAAAAAAUUUGAAAUUAACUUUGCCCGCUUUGAGGGUACCAAUUAAAAAAGCCCCGGCAAAUUCCGG
rnacentral:rRNA from 1 species